UACGGAGGGUGCAAGCGUUGUUCGGAAUUAUUGGGCGUAAAGGGCAGGUAGGUGGUCCCAAAAGUCUGCUGUGAAAUCCCCAGGCUUAACCUGGGAACUGCAUUCGAGACUGCAUUGCUAGAGUAUGGGAGAGGGAAGUGGAAUUUCAGGUGUAGCGGUGAAAUGCGUAGAUAUCUGGAGGAAUACCGGUGGCGAAGGCGGCAUCCUGGACCGACAUUGACGCUGAACGGCGAAAGCUAGGGGAGCAAACGGG
rnacentral:rRNA from 1 species